rnacentral:rRNA from 1 species
AUUGAACGCUGGCGGCAGGCUUAACACAUGCAAGUCGCACGAGUUGCGCACGGGUGAGUAAUGCUUGGGAAUCUGGCUUAUGGAGGGGGAUAACGACUGGAAACGGUCGCUAAUACCACAUACCCUAGGAUGUGCCAAAAUGGGAUUAGGUAGUUGGUGUGGUAAUGGCUAACCAAGCCGACGAUCUCUAGCGGGUCUACGAGGAUGAACAGCCACACCGGGACUGAGACACGGCCCGGACGCCUACGGGAGGCAGCAGUGGGGAAUAUUGCGCAAUGGGCGCAAGCCUGACGCAGCCAUGCCGUGUGAAUGAAGAAGUCCUUCGGUUUGUAAAGUUCUUUCGGUGAGGAGGCGUUAAUCACAGAAGAAGCACCGGCUAACUCCGUGCCAGCAGCCGCGGUAAUAC